GAGGUUGUGCUGGAGGAGACCAGGACACUCCUUCAGCCUCCUGGGGAACAUCUCGAGACUCCCUGGAAGGAUGAAGCUCCUGACACUUUGUGGCUUUUUGCUUGUCUGUCUUUUGUGCCUCAAUGUCUUUGCUGCAGAAGGUCAGAAGGUCAGACUCUGCUGCUCAAAACUACCCAAAAUCAAGAAUAAAAUACAUAAAGGUAUAAGUUCUAAAAUGACUCAAAAGGAAAUAAGGAAAUACUGCAAGCCUUGUUCUCAGCGAGCCCCUCCAGUGAUUUCUGGACCACUCCCACUUGUAAAAUGAGCAGACUGAGAGGAGGGUGAAAACAUCUGCCUGCAUGCACACCUGAUAGUGCUUCACUAUCUUGAGGACCCUCCUUCCACAUUGCUUUUUGUUUAGGGAAAGGCUUCAGUACUGUUUAUUUAUGCCUUCACUCAGGCAUCUUUGUUACUAUUAACCUGGCAGAAGGAGCCAGGCAAAGUUGUCUGGCUGCCACCAGACUGUGUCAGCUGAAUAUUCCUCUGCACCAAGCAGGGAUUUAGCUCCUUAAGUAAGAGAAUGAGGAGAGCUGAUUGAGAGGUAGCUGAAUUGCACUGGUUUGCAUUUCUAAAUUACUUAAAAGGUGGUGAAGGGCUGAUGCUUUUGUUUCUAGUUAUCAAUAUACUUGCAAAUUUAACCCUUUCUUUGAGUCAUUUAUUUUAUAUUAACAAAGGUGUUUGUAUGAUCAUCAAUCAUGGAUGAUUUUUCCUGUAGCCCUUGUGCUUGGUGCUUGCAAUCCACUUGGAAGUAGAUUUCUACAAAUGAUAAAAAUCUCAUUAUUUAGAAAGGGCUGAGAAACUAGAUAAGCAAGAUGCUAAAAUAGAGGUGAUGGGCCAGAUGCAAGUAAUAUUUUCAAUGUUUUCUAAGGGGCUAAAUCUGACUUUAAAAUCAAAGUGGCCUGGUUUUUAGCUUCCCUAAGAGUGUCAUCAGGUGGUUAUUAAAGAGCACACUGAAAAGAUAUUAAACCUAAUCAGAUUUCAUCUGCUCCUCUGAAGCCAGAAGGCUGCUGUUCUUUCAAGACAAUGGAGUUGUGUGAUCACCUCAAUAAACAAAGCUUACUGGAGCAUGAAAUAAAUGCUAAGAAUGAUACCAAAGGGCUGAAUAACAGAGAAACUGAAGCACCUGCUGAUACUUUAGUCGUGUAUCUUCUGUCCUUUCCUAACUAUCCUCUGCAUUGCUGCUGUUUCUCUGCCUGGGGGAGAGUCCUUAAAACUGAAUUACUUGGCUGGUCAUAAAUUCAGUUUUCCUUCUAGUGAAUAUGAGGAGGAGUAGAAACCUUUUCUGCUGCUGGGCAAAUUGCAGAUUGCAAAUAGUAAUUUUUCUGUCAGUACUCAUAGUACUACUCUUAACAUAAUUGUCAGCAUGAUAGAAAUGGUUUCAGUGCCCUUCACAAUUUGGGGGAGUUGAAUGGGAACAGUCAGAGGUCUGCUGUAACUCACACAGGCAAAUGCAAUUCCAAAAGGUCAAGUUUAUGGGCACUUACUCAGGAUCCUGCUCUUACUGAGACUGUUUCUAUUGUACUGGGCAAUUAAACCUAAUUCUGGAUCUUC